AUUGAACGCUGGCGGCAUGCCUUACACAUGCAAGUCGAACGGUAACAGGUCUUCGGAUGCUGACGAGUGGCGAACGGGUGAGUAAUACAUCGGAACGUGCCUAGUAGUGGGGGAUAACUACUCGAAAGAGUGGCUAAUACCGCAUGAGAUCUACGGAUGAAAGCAGGGGAUCGCAAGACCUUGUGCUACUAGAGCGGCCGAUGGCAGAUUAGGUAGUUGGUGGUAUAAAAGCUUACCAAGCCGACGAUCUGUAGCUGGUCUGAGAGGACGAUCAGCCACACUGGGACUGAGACACGGCCCAGACUCCUACGGGAGGCAGCAGUGGGGAAUUUUGGACAAUGGGCGCAAGCCUGAUCCAGCAAUGCCGCGUGCAGGAUGAAGGCCUUCGGGUUGUAAACUGCUUUUGUACGGAACGAAAAAGCUCCUUCUAAUACAGGGGGCCCAUGACGGUACCGUAAGAAUAAGCACCGGCUAACUACGUGCCAGCCGCCGCCGUAAGAC
rnacentral:rRNA from 1 species